rnacentral:lncRNA from 10 species
AAGACAGGUGUCCCAUAAAUGUAUGUUGGAUUAAAAGGAGAAAGCUGAAUUAUUACAUGAAGCCAGAUUGUUGGAGCUAAGAAGGUGGUCUUAGUUUUACUUGGACUAAAAUCAGCAUGGUUUUCAUAGACUUCAUGAAGGUAGGCAGAAGAAAAAACAUUUGCAUAACACUAUUCCAAAAGGAUUUUUUUGUGUCUCACAGGAGUGGAAUGUGGAGGUUUGAGAAGCAUCUACAGUUUGAAGCACAAUAUCAGCAAUAUUAUCAGCAGAAAAACAUCAACAGGAUUGUGAGAUGAAGUAUUUGUCUGCAAUCUGUAAUGCCUCAAGCCUUGCUACUCUUUCAAGCGUAGCCCUUGGACUAGCAGCACUGAUGUUACCAGAAGUUUUGAGAAAUUCAGCAUCCCCAGUUCUACCUCAGACCUACCAUAUUAGAAUUUGCAUCUUUAAUAAGAUUCCCAGGAAACAUAAUCACUGGUGCACCAUACGUCCCUCCUUGAGUGACCUUGAUGACACAGUGCAGAAACAUCUGUCAUUUGUAGCCGGAUCUGUUUGCUAUUGUAAUUUUACAAACUGCCAAUAAGCCUCGAGGGCCUGGAACCAGAGCUGUCUUGAGAUGAAUGUGACCUAUGAGAAGCAGGCUUUUCCAGGUAGGAGAAAGACGAUAUUCCCCCUGGCAAAGGGAGCUCAUGCCUGUUUGAUUAUGAAGCAUAUACAUUAUGUCACUGGAAAUAAGGAGGGGUUAGUAGAAGCUCCAGAAAGGAGUCUCCAGCUAGGUAUGUUGAUUGGCUAGCAUUGAGCGGUAGCUUCAACUUACCUGGGACACAAAUGGCUUACGAGAUGGAACGUGAACUCUAUGGCCAAAAACAUUUGAUUUUCAUUAAAGGUGGCCACAGUGUGUUAACUUAAUAGAAAGUCGCCGGUGAUUGUUUUCCAAAGGACACACCUGGGGGUGGGAGUGGAGGACAUAAAUGUAAUAAUGUAUAGAUGGCCAAUUAUAAGAUGUUUUGAGUUGCUGACUGCCUAAAAACAUUCAUUCAAUCACAUUGGUUCAUAGAAUUACACAAAGAAUUAAAAGCCUGCUGCUCUGGGGGUGUCUCAGCUGGACAACCCACAAAAGCUAUGCCUGGCCAAUCAGAAUGUGAAAGGAGGAGGUGGCAGUGGCAGUGAUAGCAUUUCACUUCCUACUGUGGCAGGGUCCAUUCCUUUAGAUUUAGCUUUCAAAUAACAACCUCUCUGGCUCCUCACCUGGCC